rfam:Ovis aries breed Texel chromosome 9, whole genome shotgun sequence.
GUCGGUUACGGAGACAUCUAUCCAAAAACGUUAUUAGGGAAGAUUGUGGGAGGUCUCUGCUGUAUCGCAGGGGUUCUGGUGAUCGCCCUUCCCAUCCCAAUCAUUGUGAACAAU